GAAGGGAAUUAGGGGGNGGCCGAGUGGUCUAAGGCGGCAGACUUAAGAUCUGUUGGACGGUUGUCCGCGCGAGUUCGAACCUCGCAUCCUUCA
rnacentral:tRNA from 1 species